rnacentral:rRNA from 1 species
UACGUAGGGUGCGAGCGUUGUCCGGAAUUAUUGGGCGUAAAGAGCUCGUAGGCGGUCUGUCGCGUCGAUCGUGAAAACUUGGGGCUUAACCCUGAGCUUGCGGUCGAUACGGGCAUGACUGGAGUUCGGCAGGGGAGACUGGAAUUCCUGGUGUAGCGGUGAAAUGCGCAGAUAUCAGGAGGAACACCGGUGGCGAAGGCGGGUCUCUGGGCCGAUACCGACGCUGAGGAGCGAAAGCGUGGGGAGCGAACAGG